GAUGAACGCUGGCGGCGUGCCUAAUACAUGCAAGUCGAACGCUUCACUUCGGUGAAGAGUGGCGAACGGGUGAGUAAUACAUAAGUAACCUGGCAUCUACAGGGGGAUAACUGAUGGAAACGUCAGCUAAGACCGCAUAGGUGUAGAGAUCGCAUGAACUCUAUAUGAAAAGUGCUACGGGACUGGUAGAUGAUGGACUUAUGGCGCAUUAGCUUGUUGGUAGGGUAACGGCCUACCAAGGCGACGAUGCGUAGCCGACCUGAGAGGGUGACCGGCCACACUGGAACUGAGACACGGCCCAGACUCCUACGGGAGGCAGCAGUAGGGAAUUUUCGGCAAUGGGGGAAACCCUGACCGAGCAACGCCGCGUGAAGGAAGAAGGAAUUCGGUAUGUAAACUUCUGUCAUAGAGGAAGAACGGUGGAUAUAGGGAAUGAUAUCCAAGUGACGGUACUCUAUAAGAAAGCCACGGCUAACUACGUG
rnacentral:rRNA from 1 species